rnacentral:rRNA from 1 species
AGGAUGAACGCUGGCGGUAUGCCUAACACAUGCAAGUCGUACGAGAGUUUAUAACUCAAGUGGCGGACGGGUGAGUAACACGUGAGAAUUUACCUUUAGGAGGGGGAUAACACCUGGAAACGGUUGCUAAUACCCCAUAUGCUUUCGAGUGAAAUAGAUUUUUCUGCCUAAAGAAAAGCUCGCGGCUGAUUAGCUUGUUGGUAAGGUAAUGGCUUACCAAGGCGACGAUCAGUAUCUGGUUUGAGAGGACGAUCAGACACAUUGGAACUGAGACACGGUCCAGACUCCUACGGGAGGCAGCAGUGGGGAAUUUUCGUCAAUGGGGGCAACCCUGAACGAGCAACGCCGCGUGCAGGAGAAGGUUUUCGGAUCGUAAACUGCUUUUCUCGGGGAAGAGAACGGACGGUACCCGAGGAAUCAGCCCCGGCUAACUACGUGCCAGCAGCCGC